GUACCAGCUUGCGAGUUACCACGUGUGUAACUUUGUGGGUGGUUGUUUUGACGGGGAUAUUUUAUAUUUUAAUGUGUGACUGGUAAUUUAGACUUGACAGGUGUUCGGUUCGAGGCUCGAGUAAAGUAUGGUAAUUAACCAGGUAAGUCAUAAUGCAGCUAGACCUUAAUGAUUAUUUAUCCGCGUUUAAUAACAAAUACUUAUAUAACAGUAUUUCAUGUUGAUGCAAUUCUCAGUAAUGACUUGAUGUUUGUUUAAAUCUUGGUUUAACUUGCUUUAGUUGAGUCGCAUGUUUCCUUGAGUUGAUUGCAACUUUAAGACGCCGCACGCUUUUUGCUUAAAACGGUUCGCGUUUUUAGUAAACAACAGAUUUAGAACGUCGCGUUAAGCACACGGUGCAGUCGUCUUUUUUAGUUCAGUCAGUUAUUGUACUUCUGCGUUUCAGUGUAACAGGUUUUCUCAUUUAGGUUUCAAAACGAGUAUUUGCAGCACUUUGUUUAUAUCAGACAGAACGCAAGGAGACGGUAUUCGAUUAAUUUAUAUUUAAUUAGGAUCCUAUUACGUCUAGGAACCGGUAGGUUUAGCAACGUAUAUCUAUAGCUUGUCGUUUAUGUCAAUCAAGCGACCUGAAAUACGUUCCCAAGAAAAUCUAUGCAGAAGUAACUUUGCUCCGGAUCUAAUUCUCCUCCGUCACGGUGAGCCAGAGAGUAGUUGACAGGCACAACCUCCACGUUAAGUACAGAACCUGUGCAGAUAGAGUAGCAAAUACCAGGUUAAUUGAUGCAACAAUAAAGAGAAGAAAAUUAGCAACAGAACUGCAUUAGUUAUACACACGCUGCAGUGCAGAAAUACAUGAAACUAUUACCUCCUGCGAUGCCACAAUGAACCUAUAUAGUUGAAGUACACGCCCAGUUAAUAAGCAGAUUAUUGAAACUUGUUGGUUGUGACUUCAAACUCACUUUCAAUGUUUUUCCCAUGGGACCGAGAUUGGAAUUCACAGCUGUUCUGGAGCCGAGGUUGUACGACAGCUGUGACGUGUUUAUCAUGUGAUACAACCGCAGUGAAAGUUUUAUUUGUGGACUUUACAAAUCAUGCACUUCUAGAAACAACACCCGAUAAUACAA